rnacentral:rRNA from 1 species
CCCGCUGAACUUAAGCAUAUCAAUAAGCGGAGGAAAAGAAACCAACAGGGAUUGCCUCAGUAACGGCGAGUGAAGCGGCAACAGCUCAAAUUUGAAAUCUGGCUCUUUCAGGGUCCGAGUUGUAAUUUGUAGAAGAUGCUUCGGGUGUGGCUCCGGUCUAAGUUCCUUGGAACAGGACGUCAUAGAGGGUGAGAAUCCCGUAUGUGACUGGCUGCCUUCGCCUAUGUGAGGCUCUUUCGACGAGUCGAGUUGUUUGGGAAUGCAGCUCAAAAUGGGUGGUAAAUUUCAUCUAAAGCUAAAUAUUGGCCAGAGACCGAUAGCGCACAAGUAGAGUGAUCGAAAGAUGAAAAGCACUUUGGAAAGAGAGUUAAACAGUACGUGAAAUUGUUGAAAGGGAAGCGCUUGCAACCAGACUUGCACUUGGUCGAUCAUCCGAGGUUCUCCCCGGUGCACUCGAUCUCGUUCAGGCCAGCAUCGGUUCAGGUGGUGGGAUAAAGGCCUUGGGAAUGUAGCUUCUUUCGGGGAGUGUUAUAGCCCUCGGUGCAAUGCCGCCUACCUGGACCGAGGACCGCGCUUCGGCUAGGAUGCUGGCGUAAUGGUUGUAAGCGACCCGUCUUGAAACACGG